rnacentral:rRNA from 1 species
GACGUAGGGCGCGAGCGUUGUCCGGAUUUAUUGGGCGUAAAGAGCUCGUAGGCGGCUCGUCGCGUCGACCGUGAAAACCCGCGGCUUAACUGCGGGCUUGCGGUUGAUACGGGCGGGCUAGAGUCCGGAAGAGGCGAGUGGAAUUCCUGGUGUAGCGGUGGAAUGCGCAGAUAUCAGGAGGAACACCGGUGGCGAAGGCGGUUCUCUGGGAAUGUCCUGACGCUGAGGAGCGAAAGUGUGGGGAGCGAACAGG